GCGCCUGUCGCCUAAUGGAUAGGGCAACAGCCUCCGGAGCUGUCGGUGCAGGUUCGAAUCCCGCCAGGCGCA
rnacentral:tRNA from 1 species